UACGUAGGGUGCGAGCGUUGUCCGGAAUCAUUGGGCGUAAAGAGCGUGUAGGCGGCCCGGUAAGUCCGCUGUGAAAGUCGGGGGCUCAACCCUCGAAUGCCGGUGGAUACUGUCGGGCUAGGAGUGCGGAAGAGGCGAGUGGAAUUCCUGGUGUAGGCGGUGAAAUGCGCAGAUAUCAGGAGGAACACCAAUGGCGAAGGCAGCUCGCUGGGACGUUACUGAC
rnacentral:rRNA from 1 species